UACAGAGGGUGCGAGCGUUGUUCGGAAUUAUUGGGCGUAAAGCGCGUGUAGGCGGUGAUGCAUGUCGGGUGUGAAAGCCCUCAGCUCAACUGAGGAAGUGCGCCCGAAACUGCAUCGCUGGAGUGCCGGAGAGGAAGGCGGAAUUCCCGGUGUAGAGGUGAAAUUCGUAGAUAUCGGGAGGAACACCAGUGGCGAAGGCGGCCUUCUGGACGGAC
rnacentral:rRNA from 1 species